GGAGGCUGGUGGUGGACGGACCACUCGCCAACCGGGUCAGGUCCGGAAGGAAGCAGCCCUAACGAGUUCAGGCACGGGUCAUCGUGCUGGCCUCCCAC
rnacentral:SRP_RNA from 1 species